rnacentral:rRNA from 1 species
GGAUAACUCCGGGAAACCGGAGCUAAUACCGGAUAGUUCCUUGAACCGCAUGGUUCAAGGAUGAAAGACGGUUUCGGCUGUCACUUACAGAUGGACCCGCGGCGCAUUAGCUAGUUGGUGAGGUAACGGCUCACCAAGGCGACGAUGCGUAGCCGACCUGAGAGGGUGAUCGGCCACACUGGGACUGAGACACGGCCCAGACUCCUACGGGAGGCAGCAGUAGGGAAUCUUCCGCAAUGGACGAAAGUCUGACGGAGCAACGCCGCGUGAGUGAUGAAGGUUUUCGGAUCGUAAAGCUCUGUUGUUAGGGAAGAACAAGUGCAAGAGUAACUGCUUGCACCUUGACGGUACCUAACCAGAAAGCCACGGCUAACUACGUGCCAGCAGCCGCGGUAAUACGUAGGUGGCAAGCGUUGUCCGGAAUUAUUGGGCGUAAAGGGCUCGCAGGCGGUUUCUUAAGUCUGAUGUGAAAGCCCCCGGCUCAACCGGGGAGGGUCAUUGGAAACUGGGAAACUUGAGUGCAGAAGAGGAGAGUGGAAUUCCACGUGUAGCGGUGAAAUGCGUAGAGAUGUGGAGGAACACCAGUGGCGAAGGCGACUCUCUGGUCUGUAACUGACGCUGAGGAGCGAAAGCGUGGGGAGCGAACAGGAUUAGAUACCCUGGUAGUCCACGCCGUAAACGAUGAGUGCUAAGUGUUAGGGGGUUUCCGCCCCUUAGUGCUGCAGCUAACGCAUUAAGCACU